AAGGAAUAUUGGACAAUGGAGGCAACUCUGAUCCAGCCAUGCCGCGUGAAGGAAUAAGGCCCUAUGGGUUGUAAACUUCUUUUAGACGGGACAAAACCCCUUUACGUGUAAAGGGUUGAUGGUACUGUCAGAAUAAGCAUCGGCUAACUUCGUGCCAGCAGCCGCGGUAAUACGAAGGAUGCAAGCGUUAUCCGGAAUUAUUGGGUUUAAAGGGUGCGUAGGCGGACUAAUAAGUCAGUGGUGAAAGCCUGCAGCUUAACUGCAGAAUUGCCAUUGAUACUGUUAGUCUUGAGUACAGUUGAGGUAGGCGGAAUGUGUCAUGUAGCGGUGAAAUGCUUAGAUAUGACACAGAACACCCAUUGCGAAGGCAGCUUGCUAAGCUGUAACUGACGCUGAGGCACGAAAGCGUGGGGAGCAAACA
rnacentral:rRNA from 1 species